rnacentral:lncRNA from 10 species
UCCUGACCUUAGGUGAUCCACCCGCCUCGGCUUCCCAAAGAGCUGGGAUUACAGGCCUGAGCCACUGCGCCCGGCCCAGAGAGUCAUCCUGGAGAUGGGUCUUUUUGUUAUCCUCAUUUCAUAGAGAAGACAGUUGAAGGUUUAAGCCAUGAAAUCACUGCCCAAGGCCACAUGCUGAACAGAUGUCAGCUUUGAACCCCAAGCCUGCUUGGGCUGCUGGGAAACAGGCAUGUUGUCUCAGAGGGCACCGCGCUCGGCGAAGACUCAGCGAGACUGGACGCUGACCAUGGUUCUGAACACACUGUGCUGCGGGACCUGGGCUUUUCCUGUAACCCUGAAAUCCCAUUCAACCUCUUACGGUCCUGAGAAACAACGGAAGACCAGGGAGAUGAGAGAAAAGUGAGGGAAUGCUGAGAGAGAGAGGCUGGGUUUCUUAGAAAUGAAGACAAGGACUUCAAUUCAUUUAUUUAUAACAGCUCAGAGCUGGACUCUGGAGCCAAGAGUCCUGGAUGCAAAUCCUGCUCCAAGCUGUGUGAUUCUGCAUAAGUCAAUUCAUUUCUCUGACUAUCUACUUCCCCUCUAUUAAAGGUGGAUAAUAGU